rnacentral:rRNA from 1 species
UACGUAGGUGACCAGCGUUGUCCGGAUUUACUGGGCGUAAAGAGCGCGCAGGCGGUCGUUCAAGUCGAGUCGUGAAAGCCCCCGGCUCAACUGGGGAGGGUCACUCGAUACUGAUCGACUUGAAGGCAGGAGAGGGAAGCGGAAUUCCCGGUGUAGUGGUGAAAUGCGUAGAUAUCAUUGGAACGCCAAUGGUGAAACAGGUAGCUGGAGUGUGCUGACGCUGAGACACGAAGCCAGGGAGCAAACGGG